rnacentral:sRNA from 1 species
CAGGACUCAGAGACUGGGAUCAUGACUCAUGGGACCCUCCUUUUACUCCUCUCGGAGGCCCUAGCCCUUACCGAGACCUGGGCGGGCUCCCACUCCUUGAAGUAUUUCCACACUUCCGUGUCCCGGCCCGGCCGCGGGGAGCCCCGCUUCAUCUCUGUGGGCUACGUGGACGACACCCAGUUCGUGCGCUUUGACAACGACGCCGCGAGUCCGAGGAUGGUGCCGCGGGCGCAGUGGAUGGAGCAGGAGGGGCCAGAGUAUUGGGACCGGGAGACACGGAGCGCCAGGGACACCGCACAGACUUUCCGAGUGAACCUGCGGACCCUGCGCGGCUACUACAAUCAGACCGAGGCCGGUGAGUGACCCCGGCCAGGGGAGCAGGUCACGACCCCUCCCCAUUCCCCACCGACGGCGCCGGUCCUCUCGAAUCUUCGGGUCCCAGAUUCACCCCAAGGCUGCGGAACCCUCCCAGACCCUCCACCGGGGAGAGUCUCAGGCGCCUUUACCCGGUUUCAUUUUCAGUUUAGGCCAAAUCCCCACAGGUUGGUGGCGACGGGGGCGGGGCUCGGUGGGCGGGACUGACUAAGUGGCGGGGCCAGGGUCUCACACCCUGCAGUGGAUGCAUGGCUGCGACCUGGGGCCCGACGGGCGCUUCCUCCGCGGGUAUGAACAGUUCGCCUACGACGGCAAGGAUUAUCUCACCCUGAAUGAGGACCUGCGCUCCU